UCCUACGGGAGGCAGCAGUGAGGAAUAUUGGUCAAUGGACGAGAGUCUGAACCAGCCAAGUAGCGUGCAGGAUGACGGCCCUAUGGGUUGUAAACUGCUUUUAUAGGGGGAUAAAGUGUGCCACGUGUGGCAUAUUGCAGGUACCCUAUGAAUAAGGACCGGCUAAUUCCGUGC
rnacentral:rRNA from 1 species